UACGUAGGGUGCAAGCGUUUAAUCGGAAUUACUGGGCGUAAAGCGUGCGCAGGCGGUUGUGCAAGACAGAUGUGAAAUCCCCGGGCUUAACCUGGGAAUUGCAUUUGUGACUGCACGGCUAGAGUGUGUCAGAGGGGGGUAGAAUUCCACGUGUAGCAGUGAAAUGCGUAGAUAUGUGGAGGAAUACCGAUGGCGAAGGCAGCCCCCUGGGAUAACACUGACGCUCCAUGCACGAAAGCGUGGGGAGCAAACAGG
rnacentral:rRNA from 1 species